rnacentral:rRNA from 1 species
AGAGUUUGAUCAUGGCUCAGGAUGAACGCUAGCGGCAGGCCUAACACAUGCAAGUCGAACGGUAACAGGAAAUAGCUUGCUAUUUUGCUGACGAGUGGCGCACGGGUGCGUAACGCGUAUACAAUCUACCUCUUGCUGAGGGAUAGCCCAGAGAAAUUUGGAUUAAUACCUCAUGGUAUUAUAGAUAGGCAUCUAUUUAUAAUUAAAGGUUACGGCGAGAGAUGAGUAUGCGUCCCAUUAGCUAGUUGGCGAGGUAACGGCUCACCAAGGCAACGAUGGGUAGGGGUCCUGAGAGGGAGAUCCCCCACACUGGUACUGAGACACGGACCAGACUCCUACGGGAGGCAGCAGUGAGGAAUAUUGGACAAUGGGCGGGAGCCUGAUCCAGCCAUGCCGCGUGCAGGAAGACUGCCCUAUGGGUUGUAAACUGCUUUUAUACAGGAAGAAUAAGCCUUACGUGUAAGGUGAUGACGGUACUGUAAGAAUAAGGACCGGCUAACUCCGUGCCAGCAGCCGCGGUAAUACGGAGGGUCCGAGCGUUAUCCGGAAUUAUUGGGUUUAAAGGGUCCGUAGGCGGAUGAUUAAGUCAGGGGUGAAAGUUUGCAGCUCAACUGUAAAAUUGCCUUUGAUACUGGUUAUCUUGAGUUGUAUUGAAGUAGGCGGAAUAUGUAGUGUAGCGGUGAAAUGCAUAGAUAUUACAUAGAACACCAAUUGCGAAGGCAGCUUACUAAGUACUAACUGACGCUGAUGGACGAAAGCGUGGGUAGCGAACAGGAUUAGAUACCCUGGUAGUCCACGCCGUAAACGAUGGAUACUAGCUGUUCGGGACCUUGAGUUCUGAGCGGCUAAGCGAAAGUGAUAAGUAUCCCACCUGGGGAGUACGUUCGCAAGAAUGAAACUCAAAGGAAUUGACGGGGGCCCGCACAAGCGGUGGAGCAUGUGGGUUUAAUUCGAUGAUACCCCGAGGAACCUUACCAGGGCUUAAAUGUAGUCUGACACCUUUUAAGAAAGAAUUUCUUUCCGACAGAUAACAAAGGGGCUGCAAGGGUGUCUUCCACCUCCUGCCCCCGAGGGGGUCCCGGUUUAGUUCCUCUUAAAAAACCGCAACACCCCGUCCUUUAUUUUCCCACCACGUAAAAAAUAGGGGGACUC